rnacentral:sRNA from 1 species
GCUCAAAGAUUCUAUAAAGGACUUGUAUUUUUCAGGGAGAAAUAUAUGAUAUUCUUGAUAUUUUCCCCCAGACAAAAGAUCUAUAAACAAGGAAGCAGUGGAUGCUUCGAGGGAAAAGUGCUUCUCAUCAAUCAUGGAAAGGUAAGUGCCAGCCCUGGUUAUCUCACCUCUCUGCAACAGUUCCCUAACAAUGAAAUUUAGCAUGCCAGAGUCAACAGUACAGCCAUUGUCCUCCAUUGAAAGAAAGAGUUGAUCCAAUUCUUCUAGCAACCCCUGUCCUAUAAUAUUUUCAGCCAUCAAUCUGUACGUCCAAUAAUUCGGCACUAAACCGUUAGACGAGAAAGCAACAAACAAAUCCUUGGCUUCAUCAUUUCUGCCAACUUUAAGCAAUGCAUCAAUCAUAAUGUUGAAAGUCCUAGCCUCAAGCUUCAAAUCCAUCAAACAUAGGUUCUGAAACAUUCGAAGUGCAUCAUCAGUGAGUUUGUUUUUGCAAAGUCCAUGAAGGAUUAUGUUGUAUGUGCUAAGUUUUUCAAUCUGCAUUCCACUUUCGGUAAUCCUGACAUAGAGUUCUUUUGCAGCAGCAGUUCUUCUGGUUUGAAAUAAACCUUGCAGAAUUAUGUUAUACGUAAUAAUAUCAGGACUAACACCACUGCUCUCCAUCUCCUUAAAAAGAACUAACGCGUCUUCCAUCCUACUAAUUUUGCAGUAGCCAUUAAUCAAAGUGCUAUAAGUAACAGUAUUAGGUUUCAACCCAACUGAGACCAUGCCAGAAAGUAACUUCAUUGCUUCAUCCAUCUUACCUGCCAAGGGUAAUGAUAUCGGGCUUCACACCAAUUCGUACCAUCAAGUCAAAGAGUUUUCCAGAUUCUAUAACCCUCCCUUCUUUGCAAUGACUGUCAAUUAUUGAAUUAAAGAAAAUAGUGCUAAGACAGAUGCCUCGAUCCAACAUUUCAAGAAAUAACUCUUCAGCCUUCUCCCAUUUGUCAAAGAUACAGAGACUAUGAAUUAGGGAGUUAUAAACAAUGCUGUCAGGUCUUAGUCCUUCAUCGAUCAUCUGCUCAAAAUAAAGCAUAGCAUCUUCUACUCUACCUGACUUGCAAAGUACAUCUAUAACUGUUCCAUAGGUCACUGCAUUCGGAUUCAAUCCUUGCUGCCUCAUUUUGCUGAAUACAAGCAUUGCCUCUUCUACUUUCUCUUGUUUAGCGUAUGCACAUACUAGAAUGCUGAAAACAUAAUGAUUAGGGUGGAUACCGUUUCGUACCAUCAAAUCCAAGAGACCAUGCAUCUCAACAAGGGCUCCUUUGGUAGCAUACCCCUGAAGCAGGGUACCAUAGGUAGUAAUAUCAGGCUUUAGGCCCCUCUUGGUCAUAGAAUCAAAAAUCUUUCUUGCUUCCGUGCAUCUUCCGUUCUUGCAAAGAUAAUCCAUGAGCGAGUUAUAAGUAACAACAUCUGGUUCGACACCAUCACUGCGCAUCUUUUUGAGAAAUACAAUAGCCUCUUUCGGCUGCCCUGAAGAGCAAAACCCAUGCACAAUACUAUUAUAUGUCAUGCAAUCAGGCAUGACACCACUCUUAACCAUGGUGGUAAGUACCUCCAUGGCCUUGUCCACAGUUUGAGCCUUGCAUAGCGCAGCAAUAAUAGAGUUGUAGGUCACAACAUUUGGCGAAAUCCUCUGGUCAAGCAUUUUGUCCAGAUCCCCCUCCUUGAAGAAGCCAUUGAUGACGGUGCUGUACGACACCACAUCAGGUGGGCAGUCACCUCCAUCAUCAGCCAUUAUGUGCAGUAACUCGAGAGCUUCUUGGCUUCUGUUCUCAUCACACAGCCCGUUGAGAAGAAUAUUGUAGGAGA